GAGAUUCUGCACUGCAAGUCUUUGAGUAUGAAGCCAGAACCUGGAAAUACCUGGUCCAGACAAUGACCCCAGCCUUUGGGUCAGUGGGGUAUACAGGUGUUACUGAAGCGUUAUAUAACAUUUUCAAGAUAACAAGAACCACAGCAGAGUGUGGAGAUGCGACAUGACAUGGCUGCCUAUCUCCUGGCUUCACUAGAAGCAGCGAGCUACAGCAGGAUUCCCAUCUACACUGGAUCCAGCAUGCACUGAUCCCACACGUUUGCCGAGGUUCUGAGGUGGAAGGAGGGUGAUUGUGACCAAGGACUUCACUGGCAAAGAGCAGGUGCAGAUGUGGAGUCAGCCAGGUCAGGACAGACUUCCUGUGGUAGGCAGCACUUCCUUGGGCUUUGGGCAGCAGGAAAUGUCAUAGGAAAAUGGAGGAAGCAGAGAAAGGAAAGCUGGGCUUGGGCUUGGGUGGAAGCCCUUUGCCUGUUCCUUGCAGAGCUGGCUGGGGUAAGCGUAUGUGGCAUUUAGGCAGCUUUGGUUUGUAGACUAAUCAAUAGCCUGUGACAUUAAAAUGUUUGAGUACAAUAAGCCAUUUUCUGCUUCAGAUAGCCUAUGACUCGUCAGGAUCAGGAUCCAGCCGUGGGUUCCACACUGGUUCUUGCAGCAAAAGUUCAUGACCCAUGAUGAGGGUGGAUUGGUAUCAGGUGCCUGAGUUGAUGGCUCCACCGCCUGCUUGCUGACCACUCCCAAAGACCCCAGCCCCAGCUGAUCUUCCCAUCUCCCCUCUGCUUGCAGGGAACCAGAGAUUCCAUGUUCAUUUCUCUCACGGUGGCAAUUCCAUUCAUCCCUGGUCUUCUGUCCCCUCCUUCUCAGGGAUUUUUAUCUCUAUCAGUCAACAGUGUGUGUUCAAAACUCUAACUGUGUUUUCAGAGUCGAUGGAAUCUCUAGGUGAUGGUAGUCACUCAACACUUUCGAAAGGGCGAGUUCCUCAUGGAACCAGCCAGGCCAACCAGGAACACUCCCCAGUGGCUUCCCACACUCUCAAACUGCCAUUGGCAUCUGAGUGGUCCAUCUGACAAAGACGCCAUGAAGCCCUGCAGUGAGUUUGAGCAUGAGGAGUAAUGUCAUAGACAACACAGGAUGGAUCAGGCACAGGGCUCCUGGGCAUGGACAUGCUCAGGACUGUCUACUUGGAAAAUCCUGGCAUUCACAUCUGGGCAGCACAUCGUGGCAUAUGUCAUGGGGCUGUGGCUUCAGCAGCUGCCAGGCUCUCCUCCAACAAUGCCAAGGGCAUCCUUCAUCCCAUAGAAUGUUCACAUCAUGAUCUCCUACAUCCUCUGGAUGCAAAAGCUGAGACUCUUGAAGCCCUCAGCCAGCUCUGCGGCCACAGCACAGCCAACUCGUCCCUUG
rnacentral:lncRNA from 1 species